AAUCAACGCUGGCGGCGUGCCUAACACAUGCAAGUCGCACGAGAAAGGGAUUUCGGUCCUGAGUAAAGUGGCGCACGGGUGAGUAACACGUGACUAAUCUACCUCCGAGUGGGGAAUAACUGAGGGAAACCUUAGCUAAUACCGCAUAAACACUUACGAGUCAAAGCAGCAAUGCGCUUGGAGAGGAGGUCGCGGCAGAUUAGCUAGUUGGCGGGGUAAUGGCCCACCAAGGCGAUGAUCAGUAGCUGGUCUGAGAGGAUGAUCAGCCUCAUUGGGACUGAGACACGGCCCAAACUCCUACGGGAGGCAGCAGUGGGGAAUCUUGGACAAUGGGCGCAAGCCUGAU
rnacentral:rRNA from 1 species